UGUUUGAAACAUUGGAAAAAAAUUUAAUCAUAUUUCUUAGUAUAUUACUUAACUACAGCCAUUUGUAUAAGAAUUUAUAAGAAUUUCAAACACAUAUGCAAUGAGAGCACAUUCAAAAGAUAUACGAUGACAAAUGAAAAAUAAACAAUCAUUGUGUAUGUUCAUAUAACAUCCAAAUUGACAUAUUUUUGUCAUUGAAAUUUUAUAACAGAAAUGAAAGAAUGGUAGGCAAUUUAAGGGUACCACUCUGUUUUUUAACGCGCCGCCCAUACAGCUGGGAUACCGCCCCAAAGUUUGACUUAUUUACUUGUGAAAAGAUCAAGAAAAAUUAUUCGGUUUACGCACAUGUAUAUAUAUAUAUAUAUAUAUCGUUAACGUCCAAUAAGUUUGUUGGGAUAGUAUAUUUCUUUCGUUUUGCUCACACUUACAAACAUGUGGCUGUUUCUCGACUUACGGAAGAACCGCUAGGGUUUAGGAGAACCGCUAAAAGCUCACGUAAAUAUGGAAUGUAUCGAUUCGAAUAUUAAGCAAGAUAUCGUUGGGAAAUAACGUAAAACUCGACCAUGUAAUUUUGAUGAGCACAUUUAGCUAGAGAAUAGGAAAGUUGGAUAAUUUUGUAACAGUACGCUGUACUUAUCUACUUAAUUAAAAUUAUAACAAAUUUAUGCAAUUUUUUAAAAU